ensembl:lncRNA
UGCUGAGGACCAGACGCUGUGUCGCUGAGCCUCACUGCUCUUAAUUAUUCUAAUAUAUUCAUAAAAACAUCAUCAAAAUCAGUUACAUCACUACAGCAACAUGAGUCAGAGCAAUGAAUCUAAAUGAAUCAGUGCAAGGAAUGAAAAUGAAUCGAUUCGCUGAAUUUAUCAUGAAACAAAAUGAAUUAAAAUCAAAGUGAAUCAAUGCAGUGAUCCAAAUUGAAUUGAAUGAUUUAAGAUACAGAAAUACACCGAAUCAAAAUGAGUCAAAUCAAUUAAUAUGUGUCAAAGCAGUGAGUCAAAAUAAAUUCAUUUAAACUGAAAGUGAAUCGAUGCAUUGAUACAACGUUAGUCAAAAGUGAAUCAAAAUAAAUGAAUGCAAUGGUUUUAAUACAAUGAGACAAAAUGAGUCAAAGCAUCGAAUCAAACUGAAUCAGUACAAUGAGUCAAAGUGAGUCAGGGCAGUCAAUGAAUCAAAAUUAAUUCAUGCAAUGAAUUAAAGCAAGUCGAGACAAUGAAUCAAAAUGAGUCCAUGCAAUGAAGUAAAAUACAUAUAAGCAAUGAAUCGAUAUGAAUCAGUGCAACGACUUAAAAUAAAUUCAAACAAUGAUUUAAAUGAGUAGUAAAUGAAUCGAAAUUAGUCAGUGCACGGACUUAAAACGAGACAGAGCAACAAAUCAAAAUGAAUCAGUUCAAUGAAUUAAAAAUUAUUCAGUGCAAUGAAUCAAAAAUAGUAAAUGUGAUGAAUCAAAAAGAGUCAAAGCAAUUAAUCAAAAUUAAUCAAAAGAUUAUUCCAUAUAGUGAAUCAAAGUAGUAAAUGUACUGAAUCAAAAUGAGUCAAGACAAUAACAAAUUAAUGCACUGAUUUAAAGGACACAUGCACUGAAUCAAAGUGAGUCAAAACAAUGAAUCUAAUUAAGUCAAAGCAGUGAAUCAAAAUGAAUCAAAGUAAUGAAUGAAUAUUAAUCAAUGAACUGAAUCAAAACACAGGCUAAUCUACAUACAGUAUACAUGAAAGAGAUAAACAUUUCCAGCUUAAAUCCACAAUAAAUAAAUACGUUCCAUCUGGAGCAAUUCCAGGUUUGACGUGACAUUUACAGUCAACACUUGAAAUAUAAAUUCUCAGAGGAUGUAUUUAUUAUCAGUGUAUUGAACCAUCUUUUAUAUUUUCCUAACCCAGUCCAACAUUAGAACAAUAUCAGUCUAUACACGUUUUCUAUUUUAUAAACAUACAUAACAUACAUACAUGACAAAAAAGGGGACGCGAGUAUUUGGGAGACAACAUGCAUACCCAUUAACAUUUCUUUUUUUACACUAGUAAAGGGGUUGAAUCUGAAACGCUAACAUCCUCUCACGCUGAGCAGGAAGACAAGGCGUGUAAAUGUCUAUACGAGUUCCAGUUUACAUGAACACGAUAUGAGCAGAGCGUAUGUACAGCUAACGAUCUCUGCAUGGCUCUGUAGCAGUUAAACCCAUACAGUGAUAGCAUAGCUAGCGACACUAAACUAGCCUAGUCUCGUGUAAGAUAGCCAGAAAGUUCAAUCAUAAAAUCCAACUUUUUUGUCUAAUUUUCUAAUUUUUUAAGCAAUUAGCCCUCACCUCCAAG